rnacentral:rRNA from 1 species
AACGAACGCUGGCGGCAGGCUUAACACAUGCAAGUCGAACGCCCCGCAAGGGGAGUGGCAGACGGGUGAGUAACGCGUGGGAAUCUACCGUACCCUACGGAACAACAGUUGGAAACGACUGCUAAUACCGUAUACGCUCUACGGGGGAAAGAUUUAUCGGGGUAUGAUGAGUCCGCGUUGGAUUAGCUAGUUGGUGGGGUAAAGGCCUACCAAGGCGACGAUCCAUAGCUGGUCUGAGAGGAUGAUCAGCCACAUUGGGACUGAGACACGGCCCAAACUCCUACGGGAGGCAGCAGUGGGGAAUAUUGGACAAUGGGCGCAAGCCUGAUCCAGCCAUGCCGCGUGAGUGAUGAAGGUCUUAGGAUUGUAAAGCUCUUUCACCGAUGAAGAUAAUGACGGUAGUCGGAGAAGAAGCCCCGGCUAACUUCGUGCCAGCAGCCGCCGUAA